rfam:Heterocephalus glaber contig11906, whole genome shotgun sequence.
GGGGGCAUACCUUAGGGAUAGAGUAUUUGACUGCAGAUCAAGAGGUCCCCAGUUCAAAUCUGGGUGCCCCCU